UACAGAGGGUGCGAGCGUUAAUCGGAAUUACUGGGCGUAAAGCGUGCGUAGACGGUUAUUUAAGUCGGGUGUGAAAGCCCCGGGCUCAACCUGGGAAUUGCAUUCGAGACUGAAUAGCUAGGGUACGGUAGAGGGAAGCGGAAUUUCCGGUGUAGCGGUGAAAUGCGUAGAGAUCCGGAGGAACACCAGUGGCGAAGGCGACACGCUGGGCCGUACCUGACGCUAAAGCGCGACAGCAUGGGGAGCAAACGGG
rnacentral:rRNA from 1 species